rnacentral:rRNA from 1 species
AGUAGACCAAGGCGCUUGAGAGAACUCUGCUGAAGGAACUAGGCAAAAUGGUACCGUAACUUCGGGAGAAGGUACGCUGUUGUUGGUGAUGGAACUCGCUUCCUGAGCUGACGACAGCCGCAGAAACCAGGCCGCUGCAACUGUUUAUUAAAAACAUAGCACUCUGCAAACACGAAAGUGGACGUAUAGGGUGUGAUGCCUGCCCGGUGCUGGAAGGUUAAUUGAUGGGGUUAGCGUAAGCGAAGCUCUUGAUCGAAGCCCCAGUAAACGGCGGCCGUAACUAUAACGGUCCUAAGGUAGCGAAAUUCCUUGUCGGGUAAGUUCCGACCUGCACGAAUGGCAUAAUGAUGGCGGCGCUGUCUCCAGCAGAGGCUCAGUGAAAUCGAAAUCGCUGUGAAGAUGCAGUGUACCCGCGGCUAGACGGAAAGACCCCGUGAACCUUUACUGCAGCUUGACACUGAACUUUGACCUUACUUGUGUAGGAUAGGUGGGAGGCUUUGAAGCUGGAACGCUAGUUCCAGUGGAGCCGUCCUUGAAAUACCACCCUGGUAAUGUUGAGGUUCUAACUCUGUCCCGUGAUCCGGGACGAGGACCGUGUCUGGUGGGUAGUUUGACUGGGGCGGUCUCCUCCUAAAGAGUAACGGAGGAGUACGAAGGUGCGCUCAGCGUGGUCGGAAAUCACGCGUAGAGUAUAAAGGCAAAAGCGCGCUUAACUGCGAGACCCACAAGUCGAGCAGGUACGAAAGUAGGUCUUAGUGAUCCGGUGGUUCUGUAUGGAAGGGCCAUCGCUCAACGGAUAAAAGGUACUCUGGGGAUAACAGGCUGAUACCGCCCAAGAGUUCAUAUCGACGGCGGUGUUUGGCACCUCGAUGUCGGCUCAUCUCAUCCUGGGGCUGAAGCAGGUCCCAAGGGUAUGGCUGUUCGCCAUUUAAAGAGGUACGCGAGCUGGGUUUAGAACGUCGUGAGACAGUUCGGUCCCUAUCUACCGUGGGCGCUGGAAAUUUGAGAGGAUCUGCUCCUAGUACGAGAGGACCAGAGUGGACGAACCUCUGGUGUACCGGUUGUGACGCCAGUCGCAUCGCCGGGUAGCUAUGUUCGGAAGGGAUAACCGCUGAAAGCAUCUAAGCGGGAAGCCUACCUCAAGAUAAGAUUUCCCUAGGACUUUAUGUCCUCUAAAGAGCCGUUCGAGACUAGGACGUUGAUAGGUUGGAUGUGGAAGCAUAGUGAUAUGUGAAGCUGACCAAUACUAAUUGCUCGUGAGGCUUGACUA